GCCUCCUUAGCUCAGUUGGUAGAGCAGCUCCCUCUUAAGGAGACGGUCGCAGGUUCGAUCCCUGCAGGAGGCACAA
rnacentral:tRNA from 1 species